rnacentral:rRNA from 1 species
AGAGUUUGAUCAUGGCUCAGAUUGAACGCUGGCGGCAGGCCUAACACAUGCAAGUCGAACGGUAACAGGAAGCAGCUUGCUGCUUCGCUGACGAGUGGCGGACGGGUGAGUAAUGUCUGGGAAGCUGCCUGAUGGAGGGGGAUAACUACUGGAAACGGUAGCUAAUACCGCAUAAUGUCGCAAGACCAAAGAGGGGGACCUUCGGGCCUCUUGCCAUCGGAUGUGCCCAGAUGGGAUUAGCUUGUUGGUGGGGUAACGGCUCACCAAGGCGACGAUCCCUAGCUGGUCUGAGAGGAUGACCAGCCACACUGGAACUGAGACACGGUCCAGACUCCUACGGGAGGCAGCAGUGGGGAAUAUUGCACAAUGGGCGCAAGCCUGAUGCAGCCAUGCCGCGUGUAUGAAGAAGGCCUUCGGGUUGUAAAGUACUUUCAGCGGGGAGGAAGGGAGUAAAGUUAAUACCUUUGCUCAUUGACGUUACCCGCAGAAGAAGCACCGGCUAACUCCGUGCCAGCAGCCGCGGUAAUACGGAGGGUGCAAGCGUUAAUCCGAAUUACUGGGCGUAAAGCGCACGCAGGCGGUUUGUUAAGUCAGAUGUGAAAUCCCCGGGCUCAACCUGGGAACUGCAUCUGAUACUGGCAAGCUUGAGUCUCGUAGAGGGGGGUAGAAUUCCAGGUGUAGCGGUGAAAUGCGUAGAGAUCUGGAGGAAUACCGGUGGCGAAGGCGGCCCCCUGGACGAAGACUGACGCUCAGGUGCGAAAGCGUGGGGAGCAAACAGGAUUAGAUACCCUGGUAGUCCACGCCGUAAACGAUGUCGACUUGGAGGUUGUGCCCUUGAGGCGUGGCUUCCGGAGCUAACGCGUUAAGUCGACCGCCUGGGGAGUACGGCCGCAAGGUUAAAACUCAAAUGAAUUGACGGGGGCCCGCACAAGCGGUGGAGCAUGUGGUUUAAUUCGAUGCAACGCGAAGAACCUUACCUGGUCUUGACAUCCACGGAAGUUUUCAGAGAUGAGAAUGUGCCUUCGGGAACCGUGAGACAGGUGCUGCAUGGCUGUCGUCAGCUCGUGUUGUGAAAUGUUGGGUUAAGUCCCGCAACGAGCGCAACCCUUAUCCUUUGUUGCCAGCGGUCCGGCCGGGAACUCAAAGGAGACUGCCAGUGAUAAACUGGAGGAAGGUGGGGAUGACGUCAAGUCAUCAUGGCCCUUACGACCAGGGCUACACACGUGCUACAAUGGCGCAUACAAAGAGAAGCGACCUCGCGAGAGCAAGCGGACCUCAUAAAGUGCGUCGUAGUCCGGAUUGGAGUCUGCAACUCGACUCCAUGAAGUCGGAAUCGCUAGUAAUCGUGGAUCAGAAUGCCACGGUGAAUACGUUCCCGGGCCUUGUACACACCGCCCGUCACACCAUGGGAGUGGGUUGCAAAAGAAGUAGGUAGCUUAACCUUCGGGAGGGCGCUUACCACUUUGUGAUUCAUGACUGGGGUGAAGUCGUAACAAGGUA